ensembl:lncRNA
AACAUGUAUUAUAACUGUCUAGUUAAGUUUUGUGUCUGAAAUAGGUUUUCAAAAGCAUAAUUUAUUCUCUUAACUAUAUUCCUUUCUCUUUUCAGUGUGUCCCUUCUGGGAAAGCCAUCUGACAAUUCCAUCAUGAAAGCUCCUACUGGGAAAAAUCUGAGAUUCCUACCUAAAAAGGUAAAGAAACAGGAAAAGCUCUUAAAAGGAGGCUUUUCACUUCACAAGAUGUUAAUUGAUGGACUGGAGUCAUGUGGAUUACAUGUGGAUUAUUGUGAUGUUUUAAUCAGCUGUUGGACUCUCAUUCUGACGGCACCCAUUCACUUCAGAGGAUCAACUGGAAUUCUACAGUGUGGUCUCCUGACUGGCCUGUUCUUAAUGCUUGGUUAGCAAUGGUGUCCCGUUUCCUGUGGCAUGACCUCGACCUUCUCCACACAUUCUAUAUCUCUGAUAUUCCCAUGGCAUCCUGGGUGCUAGGACUCCUCAGGCUGAUCCCACUGCAUGGUCUUUAUCAAUGAGGGCAUCGAACUGCAUGAGAUCAGUUAAUGCAACCACAACAAUAGAAUAUAAUGGUUACACUUGAUUCAAAAGUUUGUGAUUGGUAAGAUGUUUGUUUGAUUGUUUUUUUUUUUUAACACUUUCUUUAUGCUCACAAAAGCAGUAUAUAUUUAAAUAUAAUAAUAAAAAAAUACAGCAAAACA